AGAGGAAAAGGAUCUAGGGGUAUUGGUCAACUUUUGGAUGAAUAUGAGCCAGCAGUGUGUCCAGGUGGCCAAGAAAGCCAAUGGCAUCCUGACUUGUAUCAGAAAUAGUGUUGCUAGCAGGAGCAGGGAAGUGAUUGUCACCCUCAGCUUUGGUGAGGCCACACCUUGAAUACUGUGUUCAGUUUUGGGUCCCUCACUACAAGAAAGACAUAGAGCAUGUGCAGAGAAAGGCAAUGAAGCUGUGAAGGGUGUGGAACGCAACUUCUUUUAAGGAGUGGCUGAAGGAAUGGGAACUGUUUCAUCUCGAGAAGAAGAGGCACAGGAACAAUCUCUACAACUACCUAAAAGUGUUGAGAUGGAGGUUGGUCUGUUCUCCCAGGUAACCAGUGAUAGGACAAGAGGGAAUGGCCUAAAGUUGUACCAAGGGAGGUUCAGGAUGGAUAUUAGGGAGAAUUUCUGUUGAGGAAUGGCUUGAUAGCCAAGGGGGCCACGGGUCUCUUGAAAAGUUGUACGAGCAGGACAGGCCUUAUAGUUGGCAGGAGAUACAAUUGGAAAAGUACUAGCUUGCUAUGCUAUGAUGGCUCAGGAAGCAAGAACUUGCUGAGCUUGGGCGCUACGUGCACAACUCAGGCUAGGAGACCUUGAGGCUAUGAAUGCACAAAGAAGAAGCUGAGGUUGCAGCUAAGAUAAGGGGGAAGCUAGCCUGGGAAGAGACUGAGUAAUGAAAUACAAAGAGCAAUGGGACAAUUAAUGCUGUAUCUGUAGCUAGGCGAGCAAGAUGUGUGACUCUACGGCCAAUGGUACUGUAGGGCCGGGAGCUCUCGCAAUGAUUCAACCAAUUACAAGCUGAUGCACGUUCGCCACAAUCUAUAUAUGUGUGUAAACAACGAAUAAUAAACGGAGAUUUUGAUGCACUCAUAUUGGGUCAUGUCAUCACUCCCCAUGCGGCUUGGCCAGCGAACUGACUAGAUUCCGGUUCUCCGACACCUGGGGAAUUCGUGACAACCUGGAACUGGGGUUCGCGAUAAAUUUCUUCUAAGAAAGCGUCGUGAGGCAUUGAAACAGGUUUCCCAUGGAGGUGGUUAAUCUACAGUCCCUGGAAAUUUUUAAGGAAAAGUCAUAUGUAGUAGUGGAAGGCAUCCCUGUCCAUUGCAGGGAAAUGGAACCAGAUCUUUAAGGUCCCUUCCAACCUGAACCACUCAAACCACUUCUGCAACUCAAGAAGAAAUACUUGUUUUCUUUCCUAAAAGGGCACUAGUCAAUUAAAUGACUACUGCUAUCUAUACUGAUAACUUUAUCAGCAAGAUGUAGUCACAGCAACAUAUACUAUUGGUUUAAUAUAAAACAGUAUUAUAUUGUCUGUUCUGAAAAACAGAAGUUGUCAAAAACCAAAAAAAAAUUGUUAUGUACUACCACAACUAUGUGUGUGCAACUUUCAAAUGUGUAAAAUAUAAUUCUGUUCCUGUGCAGCCAGAGAUGCCUUGUCGUGGUUUUGUGAUUUCUGUUAUAAGUAUUCCACAUUAUAACAUCAUGUAAAGCACUGGGAGUUAAAGAGUUAAUGCUCUGGUUCCCUGGACUGCUGUUUCUGUGUGUUGGUUCUAGUAUGGAGAGGGGAGGAACUGCAUUUCCCUCAAGACUUUGUAUUCCAGAGGGGUAAGGUGGAGCUCCUCGCAGGUCAGCAGACCCUCUCCUUGUCUGCUGCCAAUGAGCACAUGGUCCACUGUGCUUUCGCCUGCAGAUGUAGAGUCAGGCCUUCGGUUUUGGACACUCUUAUUUUGUUUGAUUUGUUGGCCUAAAUUUCAAUUGUAUUGUGUUAUAUUGUGUUACCUUGCAUUUUGAUAUCAUAUUUACUAAAUUAACUUUACUCCUCACAUCAUUGCUGCUGUUCUGUUUUUCAGACCCACUUACUAUCUCCUUACCCUUCCCCUUUUUCCCGGGGUGGGUCCGUGGGUCUCCUGCCUCAUUAAUUACAGGACUGGGCCAGAGUGGCCCGUAAACCAUUGGCACUUUUUUCUCUCCUUCUUUUCUGGGCCAGUGGGCCUGCUGUCCCCCUGUCACGGACAUUGAUAAAUCUAGAGAUAAUUCCAUGACAUGGGUGCAUGCCACCUUAAAGAUUUAUAGGCAGAUUUUGGAAGAUAAAAGUUUUUCAAUCGUCAGUAUACGUACAUUUUAAUUUUUUAACCAAUGCACUGCUACCAUAGACAACUGUACUUACAUAAACAUAACACAACUAAUUUCGUUCUAAAAUAACUACAGAUUGUAUUAUUAAUACAUUUUUAUUCUGAAAUCCUUACAAACAGACAAUGAAUGUGUUAGUUUUGUUCUGACUGUAUACUUAGAACUUAGUGAGAACAAAAUUUAUAUUCAACUGUCAGUUAUUCCCUUUCUUAUUCAAAAUUGUCUGUCAGCUCUUCAUGCUCAAGCAGCAUCAGUUUCCUCACCAAUUAUCUCAUUCUUUGCUAAGUGUAGUUGAGCAAUCACAUUUUACUCAUUGGUUUAAGUACUAUGUAUUAGAAGUAUAGUAAAUUCUUAUUUCUCCCAAUAAGCAACAAAGUAAGAUAAAAUAUGACAUUUCAAAGGUGCGUCUACAGUGAUGAUGUAAAGAUUGGUAGUGUUCAAUACCUAGUGCAACAUAUUCUGUUUAUUCAAAGCCAUGUAAAACCACAAUGCAUGGAAAGUCUUCAAAAUACACUCUUUAAUCAUUAUCAACAAGUAAUAAUAAUUCCUUGAAUGAACACCAGUUUUCAAUAAAAUUCCUUUAUUUUCCCACUGUUUUCAAGCUACUGUUUUUUCAACUUGAGUUGAAACAUCAACAUCAGUUUCUGUAUCUCUAUCAAAACAAAAAUUAGUUUAUUGAAAUUAUCUUAAAUAUAUAUUGUAACAUGAAUAAAUGUUAAUGCAAUUUGAUAACAUAUUUUAAUACUGUUUAGAUCAUUUUUUUCCCUCAGGACAAACAAAAUAGGUAUGUACAUACAAUAACACUGAUUAAUAGAGUACAUUCUCUGCUACAAAACACUCCUUUUCAACACAGCCAGAACCAUUAGCUGUGUAUUUUCACCAGCCUGCAUGCCAUGCUUGUCAAAGCUCCCGUGGACUCACUACCCUGAAAACUUUCCAGGUUGUGUUCACAUAGAAAUCAGCCUUUAGGCAAGUACUCACUUCAGCUGAUGAAAGAAACAAUCACAUUUCUUCAAGAGCCCCCAAAGUAUGCUCAUCUAUUCUUCUAUUUUGAUGCUAUGCAGUUUGAAAAACUAAGAACUUCUCCUACGGGUACAAGUUGAAGCUCCACAUUUUUAAAACGUUAGUCCCUACUGCAUGUACUAGAGGUACUUACACAGCCAUUUAGCUUGAAUUAAGAAACAUCUAAAAACAUGAAGAGUCAAAACAUUCCCAUUAAAACAUUCCCAUGUAGAGUUUUGAAAUAGCUCAGCUGUAUCCUACAUGCUCAAAAAUUAAAGAACUAGGCAGAGCUGGUUCAAGGUUCUUUUAUGAAUACUUUCCUCAUCCUCAGAGUAGUGGAGUCAAUUUUGCAGUAUCAGCAGAGGAGGUUCUUGCUGGAAAAGAAACAAAAUAAAGAUCUUGAAGUGUGACUUGUAUUUGCACUUACCUAAUGAAGAUCUGAUGAAAAUCCUAAAAACAAGUGAUAAAUGUGUGAGCCCUACAGAUUUCAGAGAUCCAAUAACCUUCCUUUUGAGGUGGUACAGUAAAAUAUGAGCGCAAUCUCCCCAUUUGUAUACUAUCAUGUGCAGAAUCCCAUAGAAUUUAAAAACAAUUCUUCAGUUAGCCUGCAGCUCCUUUGUAUUCUUAGUAAGUAAAAAAAAAGCCGCAGACCUUCAUAAUUCAUUCUUGCUGAAGGCAGAUAUUACCAGGAAUGUCAGAGCACUAUUUUUAUGAACCUAAAGAUUUCUUUACCCUCUAGACAUUUCAACAGAUAAUUUUUUAGCUUGUCUCCCCAUUUUUUCCUCAUAGAAUUCCUCUUCAUCCACAGGCUAUUUUUAAUACACACUUCCUAUCUCAGUAACUAAAGCAUUUCACAGGAACUGAUCUUGCUUUCUUAUCAUAUGCAGGAGCUGUGAGCUUUUUCUGUAACCUGGAAAAUAUGAAUUGUGUCCUGCAGCUAAAUCUUUAAGAGAAGAAUGAAUAUAUUUUAUAAAAUCAGACUCUUCAGUGUACUCUGUAAGGCCAAUUAUUUUCUUGCUUGAUCUUCUGUCAUGAUUCUAUAGAUUGUCGACCUUUUCCAGUAGAUAAAAUAUUUUCUUAUAUUGUUCUUUAUCCUUCUUGAAGCUUGAAAUCUCGUAUUUUGAAUUACUAUUUCUGUCCUCCACAGCACUUUCUCAAACAUGUAUUUUAUUUAUCAAAUACAUCCUCUCAACCUUCCCUUUCUUUAGAACCACUAAGACUGAGCCUAUGUAGAAACACCUCUCCAUAAAUCAUUAAUAAAAAAGGGAGUUGAGAGCAUCAAGUUGUGCAGAUCUGGGUGGUGGUGAAUGUCAUAAAGCAAGUAUCUACAAUAAAGAAAAUAGUGUGAGGAUCUUGUUUUUUUAUUUCAAGUUUUUCCCACUACUUUAAUUCUAUAACCUAUUAGCAAUACUAUAAUUAAAGAGAGAAAUGCUGUCCAGCAUUUCAGGGCACAUCUGUAGGAUGAUGCAUUUUGAAAGAAGAUGCAAAAUGACUAGUGAAAAGGGAAAAAAGGCUAGAAACUGGCUACAUUUGAGAAACUCCAUAAUUAUUUAAAGUGAAGGUUCUAGUUUACUACUCUUUUGAAGAACCUUCUAUUUUUUUUUUUUCAUUUAUACAGAGAAGUGUUUUCCAUAGCUAAACACUUUGAAAGAACAAUUACUAUUACACAGGUAAUACCAUUCCAUAUUUUCUUAGGGAAAACACUAAAAUCAAUUGCUGGUCCUUAGGAAAAUGCUUAAAGUCAUUUAAAGUACAUAAUAUUCUAUAAAAAUAAGCAUAAUAGAGUUUUUAUUGAUUGAUUUAGAGAACAAGAUUUAUUUUUUUUAAUAUUUUCAUGAUAUGAGGAAAUAAUCAGCACUGUCAAAUUGUUCUGUUAAGACUAUUUCCAGGAAAAUUUACUUGUUCUAAUGUUACAAAUAAAAAAUGAAUCCAAGGAUUUAUUAAACCCAAUAUGAUAGCUUAUUAGUUAUUAUAUUGUAUCUCUUCCUUGAACAUGACAAAUGUAUCCUUAAGUAUAUGUGAACAAUGUUUGUACACGCUUUGAAAUGCUUUCAUCUAAGUUUUGUAUUUAAUUCAGUAACUGAUGUCCUCCGAUUUUCUGACCGUAAAAUAAAG
ensembl:lncRNA